rnacentral:rRNA from 1 species
UACGAGAGCCCCAAGCGUUAUCCGGAAUUAUUGGGCGUAAAGGGUGCGUCGGUUGUUAUAUUAGCCUCACUUUAAAUCUUCAUGCUCAACAUGAAGAAUGGGCGGGGAACGGUAUGACUAGAGGUUGUGAGAGGUGUGCGGAACUCAAGGUGUAGGGGUGAAAUCCGUUGAUAUCUUGGGGAACACCAAAUGCGAAGGCAGCACACUGGCACAUAUCUGACACUCAAGCACGAAAGCGUGGGUAGCGAAUGGG